rnacentral:rRNA from 1 species
AGAGUUUGAUUCUGGCUCAGAACGUACGCUGGCGGCACGCCUAACACAUGCAAGUCGAACGAAGUAGCAAUACUUAGUGGCAGACGGGUGAGUAACAUGUAGGUAUCUGCCCUUUGGCCUGGAAUAACACGAGGAAACUUGUGCUAAUACCGGAUAAGUCUUUACGGAGAAAGCUUUAUGCACCAUUGGAUGAGCCUGCACUUGAUUAGUUUGUUGGUGGGGUAAUGGCCUACCAAGACUGUGAUCAAUAGCUGAUUUGAGAGGAUGAUCAGCCACAUUGGGACUGAGACACGGCCCAAACUCCUACGGGAGGCAGCAGUGGGGAAUCUUGCACAAUGGAGGAAACUCUGAUGCAGCGAUGCCGCGUGAGUGAAGAAGGCCCUUGGGUUGUAAAGCUCUUUCGUCGGGGAAGAAAAUGACUGUACCCGAAUAAGAAGGUCCGGCUAACUUCGUGCCAGCAGCCGCGGUAAUACGAAGGGACCUAGCGUAGUUCGGAAUUACUGGGCUUAAAGAGUUCGUAGGUGGUUGAAAUAGUUGGUGGUGAAAUCCCAGAGCUUAACUCUGGAACUGCCAUCAAAACUUUUCAGCUAGAGUAUGAUAGAGGAAAGCAGAAUUUCUAGUGUAGAGGUGAAAUUCGUAGAUAUUAGAAAGAAUACCAAAUGCGAAGGCAGCUUUCUGGAUCAUUACUGACACUGAGGAACGAAAGCAUGGGUAGCGAAGAGGAUUAGAUACCCUCGUAGUCCAUGCCGUAAACGAUGUGUGUUAGACGUUGGAAAUUUAUUUUCAGUGUCGCAGGGAAACCGAUAAACACACCGCCUGGGGAGUACGACCGCAAGGUUAAAACUCAAAUGAAUUGACGGGGACCCGCACAAGUAGUGGAGCAUGUGGUUUAAUUCGAAGAUACGCGCAGAACCUUACCAACACUUGACAUGUUCGUCGCGACUCUAAGAGAUUAGAGUUUUCGGUUCGGCCGGACGAAACACAGGUGCUGCAUGGCUGUCGUCAGCUCGUGUCGUGAGAUGUUGGGUUAAGUCCCGCAACGAGCGCAACCCUCACUUUUAGUUGCCAUCAUUAAGUUGGGCACUCUGAAAGAACUGCCAGUGAUAAGCUGGAGGAAGGUGGGGAUGACGUCAAGUCCUCAUGGCCCUUACGUGUUGGGCUACACACGUGCUACAAUGGUAUCUACAACAGGAAGCAAGACUGCGAAGUUAAGCAAAUCCCUAAAAGAUACCUCAGUUCGGAUUGCACUCUGCAACUCGAGUGCAUGAAGCUGGAAUUACUAGUAAUCGUGGAUCAGCGUGCCACGGUGAAUGCGUUCCCGGGUCUUGUACACACCGCCCGUCACACCAUGGGAGUUGGUUCUACCUUAAGGCAAGGUUUCAAACCCUUGACCACGGUAUAGUCAGCGACUGGGGUGAAGUCGUAACAAGGUA